UACCUAUAAGACUGGGAUAACUUCGGGAAACCGGAGCUAAUACCGGAUAAUAUAUUGAACCGCAUGGUUCAAUAGUGAAAGACGGUUUUGCUUGUCACUUAUAGAUGGAUCCGCGCUGCAUUAGCUAGUUGGUAAGGUAACGGCUUACCAAGGCAACGAUGCGUAGCCGACCUGAGAGGGUGGAUCGGCCACACUGGAACUGAGACACGGUCCAGACUCCUACGGGAGGGCAGCAGAU
rnacentral:rRNA from 1 species